rnacentral:rRNA from 1 species
CUGGCCUUGACAUAGAAAGAAUUUAGCAGAGAUGUAAAAGUGCUAGUUUACUAGAGCUUUCAUACAGAUGCUGCACGGCUGUCGUCAGCUCGUGUCGUGAGAUGUUAGGUUAAGUCCUGCAACGAGCGCAACCCUCGUGUUUAGUUACUAACAGAUUAUGCUGAGGACUCUAGACAUACUGCCUGGGCAACCAGGAGGAAGGUGAGGACGACGUCAAGUCAUCAUGGCCCUUACGGCCAGGGCUACACACGUGCUACAAUGGGGUAUACAAAGAGCAGCGAUACCGCGAGGUGGAGCAAAUCUCAUAAAAUAUCUCCCAGUUCGGAUUACACUCUGCAACUCGAGUGUAUGAAGUUGGAAUCGCUAGUAAUCGUAGAUCAACAAUGCUACGGUGAAUACGUUCCCGGGUCUUGUACUCACCGCCCG